GGGGCCGGGGGCGGUGGCUGCGGCCGGGCACGGCCCUGCCCACUGCAGCAGCCGGGGUGGCCGCGUGAGUGGUGGCUCCGCUGCCGCCUGCAUGCGAGAGGCUCGGGGCCGCGCUUUGCCCUGGCGCAGCGCUGGGCGGGGGCCUCGCCUCGCCUCGCCUCUGGGAACAACCCCCGGGCGCCCUCACGCAGGAGCUCGAGGCCGCCUCUCCGGGGGGAGGCAGCGUCCACUGGACUCCUUGGGGGGCUGCUCCGCUCCGGACCGCCUUUCCAGAUCCCUGGCUUUGAACCUCUGACCCCGCUCCCUUCCCUGCUUUCCUUUUACUUUGCCCCAAGGAAUUAGUGGCCGCUGUCUCAGUAGCCUCUUUUUCUCCGGGGGCGUUGGCCCACGACCCCUUCUCGCAGCAGCAAGUGGGCCGGUGGGUGGAGGGACGAAGCCGCUUCAAGUUGAGGCUUUCAGAUCAAGUGACCAAGUGCGCGGGGCUCAUUUGCCCGUGCGGUGCCCUGGGCAGGUGUCCCUGGUGUACUGGUGCUCGCGGUUGCCUUACAAACGUGGGAGGCGCAGAAAUCCAUGAACAGCAGCAGAGAUAAAAGAAGCACAUUCACAAGGGGACUGUGGCACCACAAAUAUUUUUCAUGCUGGCUUAACCCUCAAGGGCAUCAGUAACUUCAAAUGGCUGGGGCAGGUAGAGGAAGAGGGCGUGCUGCAUUUACCUUCAACAUAGAAGCUAUUGGUUUUUCUAAAGGCGAAGCACUACCUGAAGCAGCAUUCAAACCCC